GGGGAUUUAGCUCAGUGGUAUAGCGCCUGCCUGGCAAGCGCAAAGCCCUGGGUUCGAUUCCCGGUACCA
rfam:Heterocephalus glaber contig167097, whole genome shotgun sequence.